UACGUAGGGGGCUAGCGUUGUCCGGAUUUAUUGGGCGUAAAGAGCGUGUAGGCGGCCAUGUAGGUCCGGUGUGAAAACUCGAGGCUUAACCUCGAGAUGUCAUCGGAAACCAUCUGGCUAGAGUCCGGGAGAGGAGAGUGGAAUUCCUGGUGUAGCGGUGAAAUGCGCAGAUAUCAGGAGGAACACCAAUGGCGAAGGCAGCUCGCUGGGACGGUACUGACGCUGAGGCGCGAAAGCGUGGGGAGCAAACAGG
rnacentral:rRNA from 1 species